rnacentral:rRNA from 1 species
GAGGGGAUUAGUGGCGAACGGGUGAGUAACACGUGGGCAAUCUGCCCUGCACUCUGGGACAAGCCCUGGAAACGGGGUCUAAUACCGGAUACGACCUUCGAAGGCAUCUUUGAAGGUGGAAAGCUCCGGCGGUGCAGGAUGAGCCCGCGGCCUAUCAGCUUGUUGGUGGGGUAAUGGCCUACCAAGGCGACGACGGGUAGCCGGCCUGAGAGGGCGACCGGCCACACUGGGACUGAGACACGGCCCAGACUCCUACGGGAGGCAGCAGUGGGGAAUAUUGCACAAUGGGCGAAAGCCUGAUGCAGCGACGCCGCGUGAGGGAUGACGGCCUUCGGGUUGUAAACCUCUUUCAGCAGGGAAGAAGCGAAAGUGACGGUACCUGCAGAAGAAGCGCCGGCUAACUACGUGCCAGCAGCCGCGGUAAUACGUAGGGCGCAAGCGUUGUCCGGAAUUAUUGGGCGUAAAGAGCUCGUAGGCGGCUUGUCGCGUCGGAUGUGAAAGCCCGGGGCUUAACCCCGGGUCUGCAUUCGAUACGGGCAGGCUAGAGUUCGGUAGGGGAGAUCGGAAUUCCUGGUGUAGCGGUGAAAUGCGCAGAUAUCAGGAGGAACACCGGUGGCGAAGGCGGAUCUCUGGGCCGAUACUG